CUGACAAAAUAGAGUUUGGUGGUGAAUGGUUUGUGAACUAUGUUGCCCCUGUAUGGCUUGCCUACAAGAUUUGAGUUUGGACAGUUAGUGAUACGGUGAUUUAGUAGUGUGUGUGACUUGACGAAAUGAUAAUCCAUAGAGGUGAAUAUGUAUUGUCCCAGAGAGUAAAAUAUCCUUUGAAGUUGGUAGACAGAUGUACGAAUAGAAGACCAAUCAAAUAAUAACUCACUUUGGAUGAGGUAGCAAGGAUGAGAGAAUUUAGAGCGAGUAUAGAAAGGAAAAAAGAGAAAAAAUGGAUGUAUGUUCGAUUGUUAUGAAAGAAAUUUUUUCCCCCUGUAGAUUGAUCCCCUAAAAAUUAGGAUAGUUGAUAAGGUUUUAUAGGUUUAUUCUCAAAAUAUUUGGAAUGUUGGUGAUGUGUAUGAGCUGAAAACACUGAAAAGAGAGUAUUUUGUGAGAAUGGAGUUUAAAAUGUAUGAGGUGGAGAUUCCCAUUGCCCAGUCAAUUCUUGGUCCUUGGAUGUCCCUUGCGUGAGUUGGUAGCAUGUUGAAGAUAAGAAUGUAAAUGAUGGAGUAGGUAUUGGUGCAGUUGACACACUGUGUAUGGAAGAGUAGGAGGAGACCUGAGUUGAGCAGAAAUGUGGAUGAUUUAAUAUAUUUGUUUGCGAGUUAAUCGUAGGUGCCCUGUGAAAAGAGGGAAGUCUGACUGAAAGUAGUAUAUCCAAGAGUAGAGUGAGUGAUGAUGUGUUGAUAAAGGCAAUGCGGGUACAGUGUGUAAAAGAGAGAUUGGAACUGAGAAUGAGUCCCAAGAGUUCUUAGAGGUAAAUGAACAUAGGUGUGGUUGGAGUGUAUAGAUGUAAGAAACAAUGACUAGCAAGUUGGUAAUAUUUGAGACCUGUUGUAGAAUAUGAUCGAGAGAGUUGCAUUGUUGAGAUUUUGGAGUUUUGUAUGAGCCAGGUGAUGAGAGUAAAACCCGUGACUGUUUUUAUUAGGAAGAGAGUAGAAGGUGUUCAAAGACCCUAAUGCAGAUGCUGAGAGAGAAGGAAAGUCUGUUGUUGUAGUGAAAGUUGCAGUAUAUGUAAGGUGUACAGAAAGAGUAAUUGAUGGCGCUUCCCAUUGAGGUAUAGAUGCUGCUUGUUGUUUGGAACGAGAGGCUCCCACUCAAAUCCAACAUUAUAGAAAUUAUGUUAAUUUACGAUGUGUAUCGAAAUGAUGUAGAUACCUGAUGUGAGGUGAAAUUUUAGGAUGGAGGUGUGUGUGUCUGAGGACGUGGCCCAUUCCCAAGCAAUAGAAUUAGUUAUUUCAGUUUGUGUGGUAGAGAAUAAUGAUAGUGAGGAAGUAUUUAUGUGUGACGGGAUAAGAAGUUUUAUUGGUACCCCUAUUAGGCAAAUGAGUUGUACUGAUGUUGAGAACAGGAAAUAUUGAAAAUGUAGAUGAUGAAGGUGAAACUUGAUGUUGGUAAUGGAGAGUGGCUUUCUGGAGUGUGAUUGUGUUAGUAUUAAAAUUUGUAGAAGUUACAAAGAGUCCAAUUGUGGAGAGGUUGUUAGCUAUUGUGAAGUGAAAUACAGUGAAGACUAGUAAAUAAAGAGACUUGAGCGACCCUUGGUUAUUGAUAAGAUUGUAAAGAAGGUUUAUAUUGUGUCUGGUUAUUUUGUUUGUUGUGGCUUAGUGUAAAAGAAUUUACCCUUUGAGAUGUGUUAUGGAGGUAGAAAGGUGUAGGAAGUACAGUCCCUUAAUAUUUAGAAUACGAGAGGAAAUGAUAUAGUGGAGACAUCUAAAGUAUGAGAGAGUGUGUACGAAGUAGUUGGUAUGUGCGUGAUGUGGAGGUUUAUGAAAUUGGAGUAAUGUGACAAUUAGAAAUGAUGAAGGUAAUGAAGUAGUGAUGUUCUGGUUUUCGAAAGAAUGGAGUAACCGAUGGUGUAUGGUUUGAAGUAGAGUUAAAAACCUGAGUGAGGUGAAGUUUAUGUUAAAUUUUGUAAAGGUGGUAUAAUACAAGGUUGAAGAAUGGUGCAGAAAAGAUAAAAGAAGGUUGUGUCAGUGUAGUGGUUAAUGUUUAUAUGAGGAAAUAAAACAGUACCCCAGAGAAAAUGUAAAAAAGUUAGGAAUGAGGUGUGGUAGUGAAGAGGUGUGAUUCAGUGAAGGCUAAUUGCUGACAAAAUAGAGUUUGGUGGUGAAUGGUUUGUGAACUAUGUUGCCCCUGUACGGCCUGCCUACAAGAUUUGGGUUUGGACAGUUAGUGAUACGGUGAUUUAGUAGUGUGUGUGACUUGACGAAAUGAUAAUCCAUAGAGGUGAAUAUGUAUUGUCCCAGAGAGUAAAAUAUCCUUUGAAGUUUGUAGACAGAUCUACGAAUAGAAGACCAAUCAAAUAAUAAUUCACUUUGGAUGAGGUAGCGAGGAUGAGAGAAUUUAGAGCAAUAUAGAAAGGAAAAAAGAGAAAAAAUGGAUGUUUGUUCGAUUGUUAUGAAAGAAAUUUUGUUCCCCAUGUAGAUUGAUCCCAUAAAAAUUAGGAUAGUUGAUAAGGUUUUAUAGGUUUAUUCUCAAAAUAUUUGGAAUGUUGGUGAUGUGUAUGAGCCGAAAACACUUAAAAGAGAGUAUUUUGUGAGAAUGGAGUUUAAAAUGUAUGAGGUGGAGAUUUCCAUUGCCAAGGCAAUUCUUAAUCCUUGGAUGUCCCUUGUAUGAGCUGGUAGCAUGUUGGAGAUAAGAAUGUAAAUGAAGGAGUAUGUAUUGGUGCAGCUGAUACGCUGUUUACGGAAGAGGAGGAGGAGACCUGAGUUGAGCAGAAAUGUGGAUGAUUUAAUAUAAUUGUUUGCGAGUUAAUUGUAGGUGCCCUGUGAAAAGAGGGAAGUCUGACUGAAGGUAGUAUAUCCAAGAGUAGAGUGAGUGAUGAUGUGUUGAUAAAGUCAAUGCGGGUACAGUGUGUAAAAGAGAGAUUGGAACUGAGAAUGAGUCCCAAGAGUUCUUAGAGGUGAAUGAACAUAGGUGUGGUUGGAGUGUAUAGAUGUAAGAAACAAUGACUAGCAAGUUGGUAAUGUUUGAGACCUGUUAUAAAAUAUGAUCGUGAGAGUUGCAUUAUUGAGAUUUUGGAGUUUUGUAUGAGCCAGGUGAUGAGAGUAAAACCCGUGACUGUUUUUAUUAGGAAGAGAGUAGAAGGUGUUCGAAGACCCAAAUGCAGAUGCUGAGAGAGAAGGAAAGUCUGUUGUUGUAGUGAAAGUUGCAGUAUAUGUAAGGUGUACAGAAAGUGUAAUUGAUGGCCCUUCCCAUUGAGGUAUAGAUGCUGAUUGUUGUUUGGAACGAGAGGCUCCCACUCAAAUCCAACAUUAUAGAAAUUAUGUUAAUUUACGAUGUGUAUCGAAAUGAUGUAGAUACCUGAUGUGAGGUGAAAUUUUAGGAUGGAGGUGUGUGUGUGUGAGGACGUGGCCCAUUCCCAAGCAAUAGAAUUAGUUAUUUCAGUUUGUGUGGUAGAGAAUAAUGAUAGUGAGGAAGUAUUUGUGUGUGACAGGAUAAGAAGUUUAUUUGGUACCCCUAUUAGGCAAAUGAGUUGUACUGAUGUUGACAACAGGAAAUAUUGAAAAUGUAGAUGAUGAAGGUGAAACUUGAUGUUGGUAAUGGAGAGUGGCUUUCUGGAGUGUGAUUGUGUUAGUAUUAAAAUUUGUAGAAGUUAUAAAGAGUCCAAUUGUGGAGAGGUUAUUAGCUAUUGUGAAGUGAAAUACAGUGAAGACUAGUAAAUAAAGAGAGACUUGAGCGACCCUUGGAUAUUGAUAAGAUUGUAAAGAAGGUUUAUAUUGUGUCUGGUUAUUUUGUUUGUUGUGGCUUAGUGUAAAUGAAUUUACCCUUUGAGAUGUGUUAUGGAGGUAGAAAGGUGUAGGAAGUACAGUCCCUUAACAUUUAGAAUACGAGAGGAAAUGAUAUAGUGGAGACAUCUAAAGUAUGAGAGAGUGUGUACGAAGUAGUUGGUAUGUGCGUGAUGUGGAGGUUUAUGAAAUUGAAGUAAUGUGACAGUUAGAAAUGAUGAAGGUAAUGAUGUAGUGAUGUUCCGGUUUUCCAAAGAAUGGAGUAAACAAUGGUGUAUGGUUUGAAGUAGAGUUAAAAGUCUGAGUGAGGUGAAGUUGAUGUUAAAUUUUGUAAAGGUGGUAUAAUACAAGGUUGAAGAAUGGUGCAGAAAAGAUAAAAGAAGGUUGUGUCAGUGUAGUGGUUAAUGUUUAUAUGAGGAAAUAAAGCAGUACCCCAGAGAAAAUGUAAAAAAGUUAGGAAUGAGGUGUGGUAGUGAAGAGGUGUGAUGAAGUGAGGGCUAAUUGCUGACAAAAUAGAGUUUGGUGGUGAAUGGUUUGUGAACUAAUGUUGCCCCUGUAUGUCCUGCCUACAAGAUUUGAGUUUGGACAGUUAGUGAUACGGUGAUUUAGUAGUGUGUGUGACUUGACGAAAUGAUAAUCCAUAGAAGUGAAUAUGUAUUGUCCCAGAGAGUAAAAUAUCCUUUGAAAUUGGUAGAUAGAUGUACAAAUAGAAGACCAAUCAAAUAAUAAUUCACUUUGGAUGAAGUAGCUAGGAUGAGAAAAUUUAGAGUGAGUAUAGGAAGGUAAAAAGAGAAAAAAUAGAUGUUGGUUUGAUUGUUAUGAAAGAAAGUUUGAUCCCCCAGGAGAUUGAUCCCCUAAAAAUUAGGAUAGUUGAUAAGGGUUUAUAGGUUUAUUCUCAAAAUAUUUGGAAUGUUGGUGAUGUGUAUGGAAUGUUGGUGAUGUGUAUGAGCUGAAAACACUGAAAAAAGAGUAUUUUGUGAGAAUGGAGCUAAAAAUAUAUGAGGUGGAGAUUCCCAUUGCCCAGGCAAUUCUUAAUCCUUGGAUGUCCCUUGUAUGAGCUGGUAGCAUGUUGGGAGAUAAGAAUGUAAAUGAAGGAGUAGGUAUUGGUGCAGUUGACACGCUGUGUAUGGAAGAGUAGGAGGAGAACUGAGUCGAGCAGAAAUGUGGAUGAUUUAAUAUAAUUGUUUGCGAGUUAAUCGUAGGUGCCCUGUGAAGAGAGGGAAGUCUGACUGAAGGUAGUAUAUCCAAGAGUAGAGUGAGUGAUGAUGUGUUGAUAAAGGCAAUGCGGCUACAGUGUGUAAAAGAGAGAUUGGAACUGAGAAUGAGUCCCAAGAGUUCUUAGAGGUGAAUGAACAUAGGUGUGGUUGCAGUGUAUAGAUGUAAGAAACAAUGACUAGCAAGUUGGUAAUGUUUGAGACCUGUUAUAAAAUAUGAUCGUGAGAGUUGCAUUAUUAAGUUUUUGAAUUUUUGUAUGAGCCAGGUGGUGAGAGUAAGACCGUGACUGUUAAAAUUAGGAAGAGAGUAGAAGGUGUUCGAAGACCCUAGUGCAGAUGCUGGGAGAGAAGGAAAAUCUGUUGUUGUAGUGGAAGUUGCAGUAUAUGUAAGGUGUACAGAAAGUGUAAUUAAUGGCCCUUCCCAUUGAGGUAUAAAUGCUGAUUGUUGUUUGGAACGAGAGGCUCCCACUCAAAUCCAACAUUAUAGAAAUUAUGUUAAUUUACGAUGUGUGUCGAAAUGAUGUAGAUACCUGAUGUGAGGUGAAAUUUUAGGAUGGAGGUGUGUGUGUGUGUGUGAGGACGUGGCCCAUUCCCAAGCAAUAGAUUUAGUUAUUUCAGUUUGUGUGGUAGAGAAUAAUGAUAGUGAGGAAAUAUUUAUGUGUGACGGGAUAAGAAAUUUUAUUGGUACCCCUAUUAGGCAAAUGAGUUGUACUGAUGUUGAGAACAGGAAAUAUUGAAAAUGUAGAUGAUGAAGGUGAAACUUGAUGUUGGCAAUGGAGAGUGGCUUUCUGGAGUGUGAUUGUGUUAGUAUUAAAAUUUGUAGAAGUUAUAAAGAGUCCAAUUGUGGAGAGGUUAUUAGCUAUUGUGAAGUGAAAUACAGUGAAGACUAGUAAAUAAAGAUAGACUUGAGUGACCCUUGGUUAUUGAUAAGAUUGUAAAGAAGGUUUAUAUUGUGUCUGGUUAUUUUGUUUGUUGUGGCUUAGUGUAAAAGAAUUUACCAUUUGAGAUGUGUUAUGGAGGUAGAAAGGUGUAGGAAGUACAGUCCCUUAAUAUUUAGAAUACGAGAGUAAAUGAUAUAGUGGAGACAUCUAAAGAUUGAGAGAGUGUGUACGAAGUAGUUGGUAUGUGCGUGAUGUGGAGGUUUAUGACAUUGGAGUAAUGUGACAAUUAGAAAUGAUGAAGGUAAUGAAGUAGUGAUGUUCUUGUUUUCAAAAGGAUGGAGUAACCGAUGGUGUCUGGUUUGAAGUAGCGUUAAAAACCUGAGUGAGGUGAAGUUGAUGUUAAAUUUUGUAAAGGUGGUAUAAUACAAGUUUGAAGAAUGGUGCAGAGAAGAUAAAAGAAGGUUGUGUCAGUGUAGUGGUUAAUGUUUAUAUGAGGAAACAAAACAGUACCCCAUAGGAAAUGUAAAAAAGUUAGGAAUGAGGUGUGGUAGUGAAGAGGUGUGAUGAAGUGAAAGCUAAUUGCUGACAAAAUAGAGUUUGGUGGAGAAUUGUUUGUGAACUAAUGUUGCCCCUGUACGUCCUGCCUACAAGAUUUGAGUUUGGACAGUUAGUGAUACGGUGAUUUAGUAGUGCGUGGGAAUUGACGAAAUGAUAAUCCAUAGAGGUGAAUAUGUAUUGUCCCAGAGAGUAAAAUAUCCUUUGAAAUUGGUAGACAGAUGUACGAAUAGAAGACCAAUCAAAUAAUAAUUCACUUUGGAUGAGGUAGAGAGGAUUAGAGAAUUUAGAGCGAGUAUAGAAAGGUAAAAAGAAAAAAAAUAAAUAUUGGUUUGAUUGUUAUGAAGGAAACUUUGAUCCCCCUGUAGAUUGAUCCCCUAAAAUUUAGGAUAGUUGAUAAGGGUUUAUAGGUUUCUUCUCAAAAUAUUUUGAAUGUAGGUGAUGUGUAUGAGCUGAAAACACUGAAAAGAGAGUAUUUUGUGAGCAUGGAGUUUAAAGUGUAUGAGGUGGAGAAUCCCAUUGCCCAGGCAAUUCUUAAUCCUGGGAUGUCCCUUGCGUGAGCUGGUAGCAUGUUGGAGAUAUGAAUGUAAAUGAAGGAGUAGGUAUUGUUGCAGUUGACAAGCUGUGUAUGGCAGAGUAGGAGGAGACCUGACUUGAGCAGAAAUGUGGAUGAUUUAUAAUUAUUGUUUGCAAGUUAAUCGUAGGUGCCCUGUGAAAAGAGGAAAGUCUGACUGAAGGUAGUAUAUCUAAGAGUAGAUUGAGUGAUGAUGUCUUGAUAAAGGCAAUGUGGGUACAGUGUUUAAAAGAGACAUUGGAAGAAGGCAUAGGUUUAAGUAAAGUGGGAAUGAGUCCCAAGAGUUCUUAGAGGUGAAUGAACAUAGGUGUGGUUGGAGUGUAUAGAUGUAAGAAAGAAUGACUAGCAAGUUGGUAAUGUUUGAGACCUGUAAUAAAAUAUGAUCGUGAGAGUUGCAUUAUUGAGUUUUUGGAGUUUUGUAUCAGCCAGGUGAUGAGAGUAAGACCCGUGACUGUUUAUAUUAGGAAGAGAGUAGAAGGUGUUCGAAGACCCUAAUGCAGAUGCUGAGAGAGAAGGAAAGUCGGUUGUUGUAGUGAAAGUUGCAGUAUAUGUAAGGUGUUUGGAACGAGAGGCUCCCACUCAAAUCCAACAUUAUAGAAAUUAUGUUAAUUUACAAUGUGUGUCGAAAUGAUGUAGAUACCUGAUGUGAGGUGAAAUUUUAGGAUGGAGGUGUGUCUGUGUGUGUGAGGACGUGGCCCUUUCCCAAGCCAUAGAAUUAGUUAUUUCAGUUUGUGUGGUAGAGAAUAAUGAUAGUGAGGAAGUAUUUAUGUGUGACGGGAUAAGAAGUUUUAUUGGUACCCCUAUUUGGCAAAUGAGUUGUACUGAUUUUGAGAACAGGAAAUAUUGAAAAUGUAGAUGAUGAAGGUGAAACUUGAUGUUGGUAAUGGAGAGUGGCUUUCUGGAAUGUGAUUGUGUUAGUAUUAAAAUUUGUAGAAGUUAUAAAGAGUCCAAUUGUGGAGAGGUUAUUAGCUAUUGUGAAGUGAAAUACAGUGAAGACUAGUAAAUAAAGAGAGACUUGUGCGGCCCUUGGUUAUUGAUAAGAUUGUAAAGAAGGUUCAUAUUGUGUCUGGUUAUUUUGUUUGUUGUGGCUUAGUGUAAAAGAAUUUACCCUUUGAGAUGUGUUAUGGAGGUAGAAAGGUGUAGGAAGUACAGUCCCUUAAUAUUUAGAAUACGAGAGGAAAUGAUGUAGUGGAGACUUGUAAUGUGUGAGAGUGUGUGUACGAAGUAGUUGGUAUGUGCGUGAUGUGGAGGUUUAUGAAAGUGGAGUAAUGUCGUAAUUAGAAAUAAUCAAGGUAAUGAAGUAGUGAUAUUCUGGUUUUCGAAUGAAUGUACUAACCAGUGAUGUAUGGCUUCAAGUAGAGAUAAAAACCUGAGUGAAGUGAAGUUGGUGUUAAACUUGAUACACAUUUUAUGACAUGAGGUUGAAGAAUGCUGCAGAGAAGAUAAAAAGGGUUGUGUUAGUGUGGAGGUUAAUGUUUGGAUGAGGAAAUAAAACAGUACCUCAGAAAAUAUGUAGAAAAUUUAAGAAUUAGUGGUAGUGAGCAAGUGUGAUGAAGUGAAGGAGAAUUGCUGACAAAUAGAGUUUGGUGGUGAAUGUUUCGUGAACUAAUGUUGGCCCUAUAUGUCCUGUUUCGUAAGUGAUAUGGUGAUUUAGUAGUGUGCCUGACUUGAUGAAAGGAUUGGGUGUAGAGGUGAAUAUGUAUUGUCCCAGAGAAUAAAAUAUCCUUUGAAAUAGAAUAAUUAUUGACUUUGGACUAGGUAGCAAGGAUGAAAUAAUUUAGAGCAAGCAUGAUAAGGAAAAAAAGAGAUAAAUUGGAUGUUGGUUUGAUAGCUAUGAAAAUAUUAUUCAUUUCCCAUGUAGAUAGAUCCCUAACAAUUAGGCAGGUUGAGAAAGGUUUAUUGGUUUAUUGUCAAAAUGUUUGAAUGUAGCUGAUGUGUAUGAGUUGAAAACACCAAAAGGAGAGUAUUUUCCGAGACUUGAAGUUUAAAGUGUAUGAUGUGGAGAUACCCAUUGCCCAUGCAAAUCUUUAUCGUUAGAUGUCCCUUGUGUGAUCUGGUAUCAUGUUGGAGUUUAGAAUGUAAAUGAAGGAGUAGGUAUAGUUGCAACUGAAAUGCAAUGUAUGGUAAAAUAGGAGGAGACCUGAUUUGAGCAGAAAGGGUACUAUAAUAAAUGUUUGCGAGUAAAUCGUUGGUGCCCUGUGAAAAUAGCUGAGUCAGACUGAAGAUAAUGUAUCCAAGACUAGAGGAAGUGAUGAUCUGUUGAUAAGGCAAUGUGAGUAAAAUGUUUGAAAGAGAGAGUGGUUAGUAGUCAUACGUUGAAGUGUAGUUAGAUUGAGUCCCAGGAGUAUUUAGAGAUGAAUGAACAUAGGUGUGGUAGGAGUGUAUACAUGUAAGAAACAAUGUCUAGCAACUUGUAAUGUUUGAGACCUGUAAUAAAAUUUGAUUGUGAGUGUUACAUUAUUGAGUUUCAGGAAUCUUGUAUGAGUCAGGUGAUGAGAGUAAGAUUUGUGUCUGUUCAAAUUAGGAAGAGAGUAGAAGGUGUUCGGGGACCCUAUUGCAGAUGCAGAGAGAAAAGGAAAGUGUGUUGUUGUAGUGAAAGUUGCAGUGAAUGUAAUUGAUGGCCCUUUCCAUUGAGGUAUUGAUGCUGAUUCUUGUUUGAAAUGAGACGCCCCCACUAAUACCAAACAUUAUAGAAAUUAAGUUAAUUUAAGCUGUGUUAGUUUUAAAAUUUGUAGAAGUUAUAAAGAGUCCAAUUGUGGAGCAAUUAUUAGCUAUUUUGAAGUGAAGUGAAAGCUAGUAAAUAAAGAGACAUUGAGUGACCCUUGGUUAUUGAAAAGACUGUAAGAAUGGUUUAUAUUGUGUGUGGUUAAUUUGUUCGUUGUGGCUUAGUGUAAAACAAUUUGCCCUUUUGUGAUAUGUAAUGGAGGUAGAAAGGUGUAGGAAGUACAGUCCCUUAAUAUUUAAAGUACAAGAACAAAUGAUAGAGUGGAGACAUGUAAUAUGUGUAUGAGAGUGUGGACGAAACAGUUGGUAUUUGCAUGAUGCGGAGGUUUAAGAAAUUGGCAGCUGAUGAGAGUAAGACUUGUGACUGUUCAAAUUAGGAAAGGAGUAGAAGGUGUUUGGAGUCAAUAUUGCAGAUGCAGAGAGAAAAGAAAAUACUGACGUGUAGUGAGAGUUGGUGAAUAUGUAAUUGAUGGCCCUUUCCAUUGCGGUAUUGUUGCUGAUUUUUGUUUGGAAUGAGAUGCCCCCACCUAAUUCAAACAUUAUAGAAAUUAUAUGUAAAAACAAAGAUGAUGUAACUUACCAAACGAAAGUGUUGGUAUGUUGACAGAGACACAAACAAACACAAACAUUAACACAAAAUUACGUUAACUUAUGCUGCGUGUCCAAAUGAUGUAGAUACCUGACGUGAGGUGAAAUUUAGGAUGGAGGUGUGUGUGUGUGUGUGUGUGUGUGUGUGUGUGUGUGUGUGUGUGAGGACAUGGCCUUUUCCCCAAGACAUAGAGUUAAAUUUUCAAUUAUUCACUGUGGAUGAGGUAGCGAGGAUGAGAUUAUUUAGAAAGAGUAUAGAAAGGAAAAAAGAGAAAUAUUAGUUGUUAGUUUGAUUGUUAUUUAAAUAUUAUUAGUUCCUUAUGUAGAUAGAUCCCUUAAGACAAGAAAGGUUGAUAAGGGUUUAUAUGAUUAUCCUCAAAAUGUUUGAAAUGUAGCUGAUGUGUAUGAGUUGAAAACAUUGAAAACAGAGUAUUUUCUGAGAGUGGAGAUGAAAAUGUAUGAGGUGGAGAUUCCAAAUGCCCAUGCAAUUGUUUAUCCUUAGAUAUCCCAUGUGUGAGCUGAUAUUAUGAUGGAGAUUAGAAUGUAAAUGUAGGAGUAGGUAUUGUAGCAACUGACAUUCUAUGUAUUGUAAGGUAGGAGGAGACCUGAUUUGAGAAGAAAUGAUACUAUAAUAAUUGUUUGUGAGUUAAUAGUUGAUGCCUGUGAAAAGUGCGAAGUCAGACGUAAGGUAAUAUAUCCAAGACUAGAGAAAGUGAUGAUGUGUUGAUAAGGCAAUGUGAGUACAAUGUUUAAAAGGGAGAGUGGUUAGUAGUCAUACGUUUAAGUGUAGUGAGAAUGAGUCCCAAGAUUAUUUAGAGAUGAAUGAACAUAGGUGUGGCAGGAGUGAAUACUUGUAAGAAAUAAUGUCUAGCAACUUGUAAUGUUUGAGUCCUGUAAUAAAAUUUGAUCAUGAGAGUUACAUUAUUGAGUUUCAGGAAUCUUUUAUGAGUCAGGUGAUAAGAGUAAGACCUGUGACUGUUCAAAUUAGGAAGAGAGUAGAGGGUGUUCGGAGACCCUAUUGCAGAUGCAGAGAGAAAAGGAAAGUGUGUUGUUGUAGUGAAAGUUGCAGUAUAUGUAAUUGACGGCCCUUGUCAUUGCCGUAUUGAUGCUGAUUGUUGAUUGAAAUGAGACGCCCCCACCUUAAAUCAAACAUUAUAGAAAUUAUGUUAAUUUAAGAUGAGUGUCCACAUGAUGUACAUACUUGAUGUGAGGUGAAAUUUGGGAUAGAGGUAUGUGUCUGCAGAUGUGGUCCUUUUCAGUGCCUGGUGAAUGUAAUGAAGUGGUGAUGUUCUGGUUUUCGAAAGAAUGGAGAAACCGAUGGUGUAUGGUUUAAAGCCUGAAUGAGGUGAAAUUGAUGUUAAAUUUGGUAAAGGUGUAUGAUAAGUGGCUGAAGAAUGGUGCAGAGAAGAUAAAAGAAGUUGUGAUAGCAUGGAGGAUAAUGAUUAUAUGAGGAAAUAAUACAGUACCCCAGAGAAAAUGUAGUAAAAUAAAGAGUGAUGUAUGGUAGUGAACCGGUGUGUUAAAAGUUCCCCAGAGUAUAUGUAGAAAAAUAAAGAAUCAGGUGUGAUAGUGAACAUCUGUGAUGAAAUGAACGACAAUUGCUGGCAAAUAGAGUUUCUUGGUCAUUUAUUUGUGAACUAAUGUAGCCCCUGUAUGUCCUGCUUACAAGAUUUGAGUUUGGACAGUUAAUGAUAUGGUGAUUUAGUAGUGUGUGUGACUUGAUGAAAUGAUUGGACAUAGAUGUGAAUAUAUAUUGUCCCAGAGAGUAAUAUAUCCUUUGAAAUAGAAUAGUUAUUAACUUUGGAUGAGGUCGUGAGGAUGAGAUAAUUUAGAAUGAGUAUGGAAAAGACAAGAGAGAGAAAUAGGAUGUUGGUUUGAUUGUUAUGAAAAUAUUAUUUGAUCUGCAUGCAGAUAGAUCCCCUAAGAAUUAGGAUGGUAGAUAAAGGAUUAUAGGUGAAAUCAAUUGACUCGCAAACUAUUAUUACAGAGUACAAUGUUCAAGAGAGAGAUUGGUUAGUGGGCGUAGGUUAAUGCAAAGUGAGAAUGAGUCCCAAGAGUAUUUUGAGGUGAAUUAACAAAUGUGUGACUGGAGUAUAUACAUGUAAGAAGCAAUGUCUGGCAACUUGUAAUGUUUGAGACCUGUAAUAAAAUUUAAGAUGUGUGUCCAGACGAUGUAGAUACCUGAUGUGAGGUGAAAUUUUGGAUAGAGGUGUGUGUGUGAGAACUUGGCCCCUUCCCUUGCCAUGGACUUAAUUAUUUCCUUAUGUGUAGUGGAGAAUAAUGAUAGUGAGGAAGUAUUUAUGAGUGAUGGGAUAAGAAGUUUUAUUGCUACUCCUCUUAGGCAAAUGAGUUGCACUGAUGUUGAGAACAGGCAAGGUUGAAAAUGUGGAUGAUGAAGGUGAAACUCGAUGAUUGUAGUAGUGCCUUUCUGGAAUGGCAUUAUGUUACUAUUGAAAUUGGUAGAAAUUUUAUAGAGUCCAAUUGUGGAGCGAUUAUUUGCUAUCGUGAAGAGAAAUGAAGACUAGUAAAUAAAGAGAUAUUGAGUGACCUUUGGUUAUUGAAAAGUUUGUAAGAAUGGUUUAUAUUGUGUGUGGUUAUUUUGUUAGUUGUGGCUUAGUGUAAAACAAUUUGCCCAUUUAAGAUAUGUAAUGGAGGUAGAAAGGUGUAGGAAGUACAGUCCCUUAAAAUUUAGAGUACACGAGGGAAUGAUAGAGUGGAGUCAUGUAAUACGUGUAUGAGAGUGUGGACGAAAUAGUUUGUAUUUGCAUGAUGUGGAGGUUUAAAAAGUUGGAGUAAUGUGGUAAUUAGAAAUGAUGAAGGUAAUGAAGUGGUUUUCGAAAGACAGGAGAAACCGACGGUGUAUGGUUUAAGACCUGAGUGUGGUGAAAUUGAUGUUAAAUUUGGUAAAGGUGUUAUGAUGUAAGGCUGAAGAAUGGUGCAGAGAAGAUAAAAGAGGUUGUGUUAGCGUGGAGGUUAAUGUUUGGAUGAGGAAAUAAAAUAGUACCCCAGAGAAACAGUAGUAAAAUAAAGAAUGAGGUGUGGUAGUGAACAGGUGUGAUGUAAUGUAGGAGAAUUGCCAAGAAAUAGAGUUUGUUGGUCAAUGUUUUGUGAACUAAUGCUACCCCUGUAUGUCCUGCUUACACAAUUUGAGAUUGGACUGUUAGUGAUAUGGUGAUUUAGUAGUGUGUGUGACUUGAUGAAAUGAUUGGACAUAGAGGUGAAUAUAUAUUGCCCCAGAGAGUAAAAUAUCCUUUGAAAUAGAAUAAUUAUUCACUUUGGAUGAGGUAGCGAGGAUGAGAUAUUUUAGAACGUGUAUAUAAAAGGAAAAAGACAGAUAUAUUAUUUGAUCUGUGUGUAGACAGAUCCCCUAAGAAUUAGGAUGGUAGAUAGAGGUUUAUAGGUUUAAUCUGACAAUGUCUGAAGUGUAGCUGAUGUUUAUGAGUUGGAAACACUGAAAGGAGAGUAUUUUCCGAGAAUGGAGAUUAAGUGUAUGAGGUGGAGAUUUUGAUUGCCCAUGCAAUCAUUAAUCUGUAGGUGUCAAUUGUGAGAGCUGUUAGCAUGUUGGAGAUUUGAAUGUAAAUGAAGGAGUAAUGAUCUGUGCAAAGUAGGAGGAGACCUGAGUUGAGCAGAAAAGUGGAUGAUUACAUAACAAUUGUUUGCGAGUUAAUCGUUGGUGCCCUGUGAAAAGUGGAAAAUCUGAGUGUUAGUAGUAAAUCCAAUAGUAGAGUGAGUGAUGAUUUGUUGAUAAGGUAAGGUGAGUACAAUGUUCAAGAGAGUGAUUGGUUAGUAGGUGUAAGUUAAUGUAAAGUGAGAAUGACUCUCAAGAGUAUUUAGAGGUGAAUGAACAAAUGUGUGGCUGGAGUGUAUACAUGUAAGAAGCAAUGUCUAGCAACUUGUAAUGUUUGAGACCAGUAAUAAAAUUUGAUCAUGAGAGUUAUAUCAUUGAGUUCCAGGAGUCUUGCAUGAGUCAGGUGAUGAGAGUAAGACUUGUGACUGUUCAAAUUAGGAAGAGAGUAGAAGGUGUUUGGAGAUGCUAUUGCAGAUGCAGACAGAAAAGAAAAGUCUUAUGUUGUAAUGAAAGUUGCAGUAUAUGUAAUUGAUGGCCCUUUCCAUUGAGCUAUUGAUGACGAUUGUUGUUUGAAAUGAGAUGCAACCACUUAAACCAAACAUUAUAGAAAUUAUGUUCAUUUAAGAUGAAUGUCCAGAUGAUGUAGAUACCUGAUGUGAGGUGAAAUUGGGGAUGGAGAUGUGUGUGUGAAGACUUGGCCCUUUCCCAUGCCAUGGACUUAAUUAUUUCACUUAUAUGUAGUGGAGAAUAAUGAUAGUGAGGAAGUAUUUGUGAGUGACGAGAUAAGAAGUUUUAUUGGUACCCCAAUAGGCAAAUGAGUUGCACUGAUGUUGAGGACAGGAAAGAUUGAAAAUGUAGAUGAUGAAGGUGAAACUCGAUGUUGGUAGUGUGAGUGGCUUUCUACAAUGGGCUUGUGUUAGUAUUGAAAGUUGUGGAAGUUAUAAAGAGUCCAAUUGUGGAGAGAUUUUUAGCUAUUGUGAAGUGAAAUGCAGUGAAGACUAGUAAAGAAUGUGACACUUGAGUGACCCUUGGUUAUUGAAAAGAUUAUAAGAAAGGUUUAUAUUGUGUGUGGUUAUUUUGUUAGUUGCUGCUUAGUGUAAAACAAUUUGCCGCUUUAAGAUAUGUUAUGGAGGUCGAAAGGUGUAGGAAGUACAGUCCGUUAAUAUUUAGAGUACAAGAAGAAAUGAUAGAGUGGAGUCAAGUAAUAUGUGUGUGAGAGUGUGGACGAUAUAGUUGCUAUGUGCAUGAUGUGGAGGUUUAAGAAAUUGGAGUAAUGUGGUAAUUAGAAAUGAUGAAGAUAAUUAAGUAGUGAUGUUCUGGUUUUCGAAAGAAUGGAGAAACCAAUGGUGUAUCGUUUAAAACAUGAGUGAGGUGAAAUUAAUGUCAAAUUUGGUAAAGAUGUUAUGAUGCAAGACUGAAAAAUGGUGCAGAGAAAAUAAAAGAGGUUGUGUUAGCGUGGAGGUUAAUGUUUGGAUGAGGAAAUAAAACAGUACCCCAGAGAAAAUGUAGUAAAAUGAAGAAUGAGGUGUGGUAUUGAACAGAUGUGAUGAAAAGUACCCCAGAGAAUAUGUAGAAAUAUAUAGAAUGUGGCGUGGUAGUGAACAGGUGUGAUGAAAUGAAGGCGAAUUGCCAAGAAAUACAGUUUGUUGGUCAUUGUUUUGUGAACGAAUGCUGCCCUUGUAUAUCCUGCUUACAAGAUUUGAUCUUGGACAUUUAGUGAUAUGGUGAUUUAUAAUAAGUGUGACUUGACCAAAAUGUUUUGCCAUAGAGGAGAAUAUGUAUUGUUUGAGAGAGUAAAAUAUCCUUUGAAACUAGUAGUUAGAUGUAUGAAUAGAAGCCGAAUCGAAUAAUUAUUCACUUGGGAUGAGGUACUAAGAUUUAGAUAAUUUAGAACAAGUAUUCAAAGGCAAAAAAGAGACAAAUUUGACAUUUGUGUGAUUGUUCUGAAAAUAUUAUUUGUUACCUAUGUAGAUAGAUCCCCUUAGAAUUAGAAUGGUGAGUAAGGGUUAAUAGGUUUAUUCUCAAAACAUUGUAGCUGAUGUGUAUGAGUUGAAAACAUCAUAAGGAGAGUAUUUUCUGAGGAUGGAGUUUUAAAGUGUACGACGUGGAGAUUGGCACGACCCAUGCUAUUUUUAAUCCUUAGAUGUCUUUAGCUGGUAGCAAUUUGGAGAUUAGAAUGUAAAUGAAGGAGCUGGUGUUUGUGCAAGUUACACACAAUAUAUUGCAAAGUAGGAGCAGACCUGAGUAGAGCAGAAAUGUUGAUGAUACUAUGAUAAUUGUUUGCAAGUUAAUGGUUGGUGCCUUGGGAAAAGAGGGAGGUCUGGCAGAAGGUAGAAUAUCCAAGAGUAGAGUGAGUGAUGAUGUGUUGAUAAAGCAAUGUGAGCACAGUAAUUAAAAGAGAGACAGGUUAGUAGGCAUAGGUUUAAUUAAACUAAGAAUGACUCCCAAGAAUAUUUAGAGGUGAAUGAAAAGGGACGUGUAUGGAGUGUAUACAUGUGAGAAACAAUGACUAGCAAGUUGUAAUGUUUGAGACCUGUUGUAAAAUGUAAUCAUGAGAGUUACAUUAUUGAGUUAUAGAUGCAUUGUAUAAUAAUAAUAAUAAUAUUUAUUCAACAUCGAAUAAUCAAAUACAAUCCCUAGAAAUAAUACAGUUUCAGGGAAUCAUACAGAUUAUUCUUCUGAAUACGUCAGUUUAUAAAUUACAAACUAAAGAUUUGUUUGUAUUAGUAAUUUUUAUAUUUUGAUGGAUUUUACAUUUGGUAGUAUACAAUCACAAUAUUACAAAUAUUGUUUUUAUCAACAUUAUAUAAGUUGUAGGUUACUUAAAACUAUGAGCUUGACAUACUUAUGUAGCACUUUUCAUACAGAUAUAAUACUCGUAUAGGGAAUAAAAAGGGUUUUCAAUUAGAAUUCUUUUUAGCUGAUCUUUUAAUUUGUUAGCAGGAAGGAUUGUGAGACUUUUUGGUAGGGCACUGGCUAGCUUCAGCCCAGCAUGAAGUGUAUUUUUUUCAUAUGAAGCUGUUCUGUGGUUAUUUACACGGUAUCUGAACUUUUGCCUUGUAUCGUACUGGUGCAGGUCACAGUUGAAAUUUGGAUUUAUUGUUUUCACAAGCAAUAUAACUUUCAAUAUGUAUACACCUAUAAUGGUAAGCACACCUGUUUUUGGGAACAGAUUCCGACAUGAUUCUUGAGGUUUGGCACCACAAAUAAUUCUGAUAACUUUUUUCUGUAGUAUUAAUAAUGUACUUAGGUUGGCUUGAGUUGUUGCACCCCAUAUUUCUACAUCAUUGUUUAAGUUUGAUGAGAAUAGGCAUGAUAAGCAGUUUUUUGUACACACAUGUCCUUACAAUAUUUGCUAAUCAUAUUUAUAACAAACACAUACUUCGACAGCUUACAUGCUAAGGAAUCAAUAUGCAUGUCGCAUUUGAGGCUGUCCUGGAUUGUAAUUCCCAAGAACUUUGUCCAUUUUUCCUUUUUUACAAUGUCAUUUCCUAUGGAUAAUUUCAUGUGUAAUACUAUUUGUUUCCUUGUGUGAAAUUCCAUCAUUGCAGUCUUUGAAGCACUUACAUUUAGAUGACUUUCAUUAAAAUACUUCACUAUUUCCUUAGUUACACUGUUGCACAGUACCUGCAGACUCUCAUAGUCUUUGUGUUUACACACUAUUGAUGUCUCAUCUGCAUACAAUAUUUUUGUACAGUUAGGAGAGCAAUACUGUAUAUCAUUAACAUAAAUCAAGAAAAGAAGGGGUCCCGAGACAGAACCUUGAGGCACUCCAUAUUUGAUAUCAGUAAUUUUAGAUUUGUAAGACCCACUGUUUGUUUUAAGCAAGACAAAUUGUUUUCUAUUGCUCAUAUACUUUUUUAUUAGCUCAUAGCCAGUUCCUCUGAUACCCAGGUUCCACAGCUUGUGAAGUAAUAUGGUGAUGUUGAUACAAUCAAAAGCUUUUUCUAGAUCAAGGAACACUCCAGUUACAUACUCCUUGUUCUCUAUGGCCAUUAUUAUUUUGUCUAUUAAUUGUGCUGCUGCUACUGAUGUUGACUUGUUUUUCAUAAAGCAAUUCUGAUUUUCAGAUAUUAAAUUGUGUUGACUAGGAAUGUCAUUAGUCUAGUAUAAAUAACUUUCUCAAGUACCUUAGAAAAUGCAGGUAAGAUUGAGAUGGGGAAGUAGUUUUCAAUUUUAGAUUUGUCACCUUUCUUGUAAAUUGGGGUUACUUGUGCUGCAUUUAGACUAUCUGGGAAACAAACUGAUGCAAUUACAUCAUUUAUUGCUGUGGCCAUGGCAUCAGAUAUGUUGUCUAUGCAUCUUUUCAGUGUACUGACAGGCAAUCCAUCAUAGCUUGCUGAUUUUGUAUUUUUUAAUGACAUUACUAUGUUUUUGACUUCCUUGUUCCUCGUUGGGGCCAAGUAUAUGCUUUGUUUGAUUGGAAUGCCCCUAUAUCUAUGCUGAAGAUUCUGAAAAUGGUCACUGACAGAUUUUCCAACAGAAGAAAAGUACUCAUUAAAAUCAUUUGCAAUCUGACAUUGACAUUUCAUGAUAUGCCCUUUAUGGUUUAUAGUAAAAUCACUUGUUGAUCUGUCCUUACAGUCCCUAAAGCUAUUUAUUACUUUCCAAACAGCUAAACCUGUGUUAGUAGAGUUUCUUAACAUUGUGGCUAGAUAUUUAUUUUUAGUUUCUAGCAGAAGAUAUCUUUAUAGUAAUCCUGAUAGUUCUUAAAUUCUACUUUUAGUCUAUUAUUAUUGUUAUUAUUUAUCAUUGCAUAUUGGAAAAGUCUAAGUUUCUCUCU